CGGGGGUGGGCACGGCGGCGCUUCCGGCCGUGGGGCGGGGUCGGAGAUGGGGUUACGACGGGGCGGCCCGCCCCCGCCUAGGCCCCUCCUCUCCACGCCUGCGCCGGGCGCGGGGGUGGGGCCGCGCGUUCCCCCGCCGCCGCGAGGUCGACCCUUCCACCCACCGCGAGGGGCGGGAUCAGGUUCAGGCCCGGGGUGGGGGUGGGGGUGGGGGCGGAGCGGGCCGGGGCAACCCACACGCCGCAGCCCGGGCACUCGGGCCCGGGGACCGGGGGUGGCGCGCGCUCGGGAAGGAGGGAGCGGGCGGCAGGAAGUGCCCCCCCUCCCGCCCUGCGCGCUGGGGAGAGGCGGGAUGGGGGGGAGACAGAGGUGUACCCUGUGGGGGGAGGGGCCUUGGGGGCACGUUGGGCUGGAGCCCCCGCGCCCUCGCUCCGGGGUAAGAUAGGGGCUCCCCACGCGCUCCGAGCGUCUCCCAUGCGGGGGCGGGCGGGCGCUGACGUGUCCACGCAUCCGAGCGCCGCGCGGCCUAGGGGGGGCCGGGGUGUCGGCGCGACCCCCGGCGGCGGAGGCGGGAACUGCACCUUCGGGCCGAGCGCGGGGAGGGGCUUGCUCCGGGGUCGGCACACGAGCCCGCCCUCCCCAGGAGGUUUCCGCUCAGCCUGCUUGGGUGUCCUUAUCUUUGGGGGGCCGCCUGCCUUUUAUGCCAGAUCCGAAGCAAAACGGAUCCUUUAAGACCCCUCGAACUUUGGGCAGCGCGUUCCCACCGGUGUGGAAAAGCAUCCCUGUGAGAACCCUGCGCGGGCUCCCUGGAGGCCUUGGGCCCCGUCCCGCCCCACUGCCCUCCAUGCAGGCGCAGACUUGAGUCUAGUCACUGCUGGGGGGGGGGGGGGGGGGGUGGGGAAGCCCCAGGGCACCCCAGCCCCCAGGGUGGGAGGUGGGAUGGGCCUUGAAGGAUGUGACCAGAGAAGGCCUCGCACGACCUGCUCCCCUGUAGAAGUGCUCUCCCCGCCUCUCUCUCUGUCCCUGUCUUCUCUAGGCCUCGCCGCCUCUGUCCCCAGCCCUCACUGUCAUCAGGAUGAUAACCCCCUCGUCUACACACCCUUCCUCUCCCUGGCACUGGCUGGUACUUGGGGCCCCCUCCCCAGGCCCUGCCUUGCCUCUGGGACCUCACCUCCCCACCCCCCCAACCCCACCAGCUCACAGCAGGUCUGGACUGUCCACUGGCCAGCUCUCCAGUGCACCCGCUGGCCAGCAGGUUCUUUCCAGAUCGGGGCCUUUGUGGUGCUCCAGGUGCACCCCCAGCCCUGACCCAGGCAUCUGCCUGAAGGCUCCCCUUCAUCUCUGCUCCACCUUUGCCCUCUUUUCUAGUGGGGUCCUCGAGAGGGGCUCACCAAGGAUUAGCCCACAGGAUGAGAACCCCUGGAGGGCGAGCCCGGCCUCGAUCUGGUGCAGAGGCCCCCGGUGGCUGACGCGGCCAGGCUGGCAUCUGUGCUGCGUGGAGGGCCAAGGAGUGUUGAGGGCUCGGGGGUGCGGGGGGUGGACAGCACUCCUCCCGGGCCCCUCCCCAGGUGGUCCCACCCAUUGGGCUCUGGAGCCACAUCUGUGGGAGGGAGCUGUUCUGGUUCCUGUUGCCGGGUGUCCAGGGGGCAGGGUCGGGGGCGGCUGACAGUGCUCUGAGCCCCUGUGGACGGGAGGGUUACCAGGAGGACGGGUGUCCGUGUUCGGGGGAGCAGUCCCGCUCAGGGGCCGUGUGGGGCGGGAGGGCUGGCCUGCCGGCUGAGCCCGCACAUCUGGUGUCCCCAUGACAGUCCUAUUUAUAGUCUCCAUCGGAGAACGUCCCCGGCCGUGGCAGUGGGGCGCCCGCCCGCGCCUCAAGACCCAGGGCCUCGCGCCAAGAGGAGCCCGGGCUGGGGCAGCUGUGGCCAGUGUGGGUCACCGCCUGGCUCGCUUGCUCCCGGGACGCCCCCAGGCUUGCUGAGGGCCAGAGGCGGUCCCGGGCCUGAGGAGGGGGGCCCGCGGCAGCCGCUCCCCACCUGCCUCCCAAGGUCCCCUGUGCCCACCCCAGCCUGGCUUUUCCAUCAGAGAGGCCCCGGGCUGGCCCUCAGUGGCUGUCCCUGCCCUGAAGGGAGGGGGCAGGAAGGGGGGCGCCGCGGGCAGCUGUCUGUGUGCCCCGGUGGUGCUGAAACAGGCCUGGAGACCCUCGCCGACUCCGCCAGGACCGAGGGCUCCCAGGACACCUCGGGCUAGCAGUGAGCUCACCGAGCGGGCCAGGCUGCCCCGGAGCCUGGCUGGCAGGCUGGCCCCCCUGCGCCCUCCAGGAAGCCCUCCCUGGGGGUGGCGGGGGGGUGCUCUGCACAGCUGGCCUCGCCACCCGACUGGCACCGAGACCAGGCGGCCUGCCCGGGCUGCGGAGAAGGGAGGCCUCUGCCGGGGGCAUCCUGGGCGACCCGCCGGCCAGUGGGAGGGGAGGCUGGGGGGAGCGGCCUGGAGUGCUCUGAGGGGCUGUGCCUGCCGAGGCCCUGCUGGGAAGUGGGCUGGGCAGAGGGCAGGCGCCCCCAGCUCUCCCGGCUCUUCCCAUCUCUGUGUGCGUCCCUUGUCUCUGGCUCAGACUCCAGUCGGGGAACGAAGUUGCCAGGACUCAGGCGCGUGGCUGUCACUCGAAGUGUGGUUUUAUCUUGAAGCAAAGAAGGAGCUGCAGAGCGACUUGCCGAGUCUUGGGGUGGAGCCGGUGGAUGACGGGGCCUGGAGGAAGCUGUCUUAGGGGAUUUUCAAGGGCAUGGGGUCCUGGCCAGGGCUCUGCCCCCAGGAUUCACGCAGCCCUGUGUGGACACCGCCCCCGGCAGCUCACCUGCCACACCCUCCGGAGGGGGCGCUGUCCUGCACCCCCUCCGUCUGCCUCCACCACUUUGGGUGGGGUAGAGCCCCCAGGAGCCCAGGCAUGAUGCAGGAGUCAGGGGUUCCCGAGGACGGGCCGCUUCUGGGAACUCACUGCUGGGACACCUGCAGCCUGGCCUCUCCUGACAGACAUUCAGGGGCGGAGGCCCUGCUAGACCAGGCUGGCAGCGUCUGUGUCUCCUGGAGCUCCUCGAACCAGAAGGAGGCUGACAGAUGCCGCUUGCUCCAGGCUCCCCAGCUGCCACCCCACGUCUCGGGCUCAGAACUCCAUCAGCUCCCUCAUCGUGGAGGUCCUGGAACCCCCUUUCCCUCACUGGCUGUCAUUCCUCUCUGUUCCUCAUGCUGAAGCUGGCCCUUGGCGGGGCUCAUGGCCCAGCCGCUCCCCCUGCCCUGGGAGCCGGACUGAGCAGAGGUGGAGGGUCGCCUGGGGCCGGGGCUCAGCUCCCCCGUCCUGCAGGGGAUCAGCUCCACCCCGCUGCCCCAUCUGCCACCUGUUGACCGUGUAUUGGGGCAGGUGUGUUGAGGGAAAUUGGGUGGGAAACCUACUGAGAGAAAAGCAGGAAGGGUGCAGGGCUCUCGUGCUCUGGAUUGGUUUUGGUCGUUAGCCUCCUCCUGCUUUUCAUGUUAGAACAUAAUUAUUCCACAUCGACCUACGUCCUAAAGGCACAUGGACCUCUGCUUCCUCCAUCCCUCAUUACAUCCAUCCCCAUCCACCCACCCACCAUCCAUCUAUCCAUCCCUCUGUUUAUUCAUACUUCCAUCAGUCUGUCCACCUACCCACCCACCAUCCGUCCGUCUGUCCUUCCAGCUAUCCCCCCACCAAAGCCCUGCUCUGCACACCUCCUCUGCCUGUUUGUCUCCAGUGCCUGCACGCUGCCCGGCUUGGAGUAGCGGCUGCACCAACUGGGUUCUCCGCAUUCACCCAUUCCUUACAAAUACCCGCUGGGUGCCUUGUGUAGGCCACAUGCUGCUCCAGGUGCCGAGGUGUGCUGGUGUACAGAACUGAAGAAAUGCCCACCCUCUGGGAGAUUCGUUUGUGAAACGCACGGCGUCCUAGCCCGUGACACGUGCAGAAGACGGAAGAGGAAGCAGGGAGCUGGAGGCCGUGUUGCUGGAGCUGGGGUGGGGAAGGCCUCGUGAGGAGGUAAAGAGCGAGUGCAAAGGCCCUGAGGCAGAAGCAUGCCCAGCUUAGCUGAAGGAGCAGCGGAGCCGUGGGUCACCUGGUGGAGGAGAGACGUCGGGGCAGGGCGAGUGCUGGGUGGAGUGAGAUGGGGUCAGCUGGGGAUGCACCUUGAAGACCUGCAGGAUUGCGGGGGUUGAGGUGGGGGCGUGGACCACAGAGCAAGAGAGAACAAAGGCGGACGUGGAGGAUUUGGGCCUUAACGACAGAAGACUGCGUAGCUGUCAGCCCAGCAGGAGGAGCGGGUGUGGGGCACGUCAGGUCUACGGUGCCCUGGACGCCCGAGGGGGCUGCCGCACCACCGCUGCUGAAGCCAGGGGAGACCAGGAGACAGCGAGCUCCCCGGGAGGUGGGGGGGCGGCCCAAGCCCCAGGCCCCAGGGCUGAGUCAAGGGGAUGGGGGGCCUUGCCAGGGCCACGUCUGGUGCCUGGAGCCCCUUGGGGCAGGUGGCCCUGCUCUGAGCGCUGAAGUGGGGGUGGGGUGCUCACGGGGACCGGGGGGUGCAGAUGGCGAGCGUAGGAGGGAAAUGGGUGCGGGAUGAGGGGCGGGGGGUCAGCAGGGCGUUUCGGAUGGGAAGCAGCAGCUUCAUCCUCGUGGCUGGGGGCUCAGGGGCCCGUCCACUCGGGUCCAGGGGUGACUGUGCCAGUGAGGGAGGGGCUGAGGGCUCUGGGCGUCCCCUCCCCCUUCCUCCCACUCUGCGAGGGCAGCAGGUGGCCAGGGAGAGGAGGAGGUCGUGGGCUUCGAGGCAGGGGGUGAGCCCAGCCCUGUGUGGAUGCGGGGAGAUCUGGGGGCUCUGGGCGGAGGCUUUGGAUCCAGGGUCUGGAGUGUGGUCGCACCCCAAGUAGGAGGUUGGCAGGUGCGGGCCCCUCCGCCGGCUCCUCCACGUGGCUGCUCGUCCGGCUGCCCCCAGGCCUCCCGGCGUGUCCCCUGCUCUAUCCCCCGAGCCCCAGACCUGGCUGAUUGGUUGGGGGUGCAUUUCAGAGGCAGCUGUGAAAUCUGACAAGCGGUCCCUGCAGACAUGGCCUCUGGUUUCUGGAAAACCGAUCACCUGCCUACGGCCUCUUGAUUCUCGUUUGGGAGCCGUCCUGACCCUCAGGCUGCCAGCGGGGCCCCGGAGCCACCCUCCAAGGCAGGGACGGCGGGGAGGCAGGCGCUGGCCGGCCGGCCUCCGGGCAGUGCUGGCCCGAGGGGUCUGCUGGGCCGGCUUUGCUGCAGGGCUCUGUGGCCAGGGGACUGGGACCGCCAGGCCUGGGCUCACCCCGGGGAGAGCGCGGAUGGUGCAGACGUGCCAGCCGAGAAGGGCACCAGCCACCACCGGCCGCCCCGCCUUGGGACGCCCAGAUGAGCCGCCACGUGUGUCCGGGGGUCGGGGGAGGAGCCCCCCCUCGGAAGUCGGUCUUGCACGUUCCAUUAAAGCCAGUGGUGGGCUCCUCGGGCAGCCCCCUAGCUCGGCGCUCAGGGCCGCCUCCAGGGGCGUGGGGCUGCUGGCCCGAGCCCUGCGCCGAGACCCGAAGGUGUUCGAAGGCAGCGGGCAGCGUGUGGCCUGGGAACGGAGGGGUGGCCACGUCACGGAUCACGACGACACACCCCCCUGCGAGAGGCGGGCACUUGGACCAGGCUGCCGCCGCCCUCAGAUCCCCCGCACCCCCCAACCCCCACCCAGGGACCCCGCCUCAGUACCCUGCCCGGGGCUCCAGGCCCUUCUCCUGGGGAGCUGGGUGUGCAACGCAGGUGAAUAAGUGCAUUUGGGGUGAGGGAAGUCACCUCCCACCCCGUGUCCUGGGGCAGAGCUGGGGCCGGACCUGAGGACACAUGCCAGCUCUGCAAGGUGGGCCGGGCUCAGGGCCUCCCCACCCCGCCGAUGGGGCUGCGUGGCUGAGGGCAGGGGUUCUUCUGAAAAUACUUU